GGGUACGUAGCUCAGCGGCUGGAGCGCCUGAUUCACAUUCAGGAGGCCGAAGGUUCAAGUCCUUCCGUACCCACCU
rnacentral:tRNA from 3 species